CGAAUGCUGACAUAAGUAACGAUAAAGCGGGUGAAAAGCCCGCUCGCCGGAAGACCAAGGGUUCCUGUCCAACGUUAAUCGGGGCAGGGUGAGUCGACCCCUAAGGCGAGGCCGAAAGGCGUAGUCGAUGGGAAACAGGUUAAUAUUCCUGUACUUGGUGUUACUGCGAAGGGGGGACGGAGAAGGCUAUGUUGGCCGGGCGACGGUUGUCCCGGUUUAAGCGUGUAGGCUGGUUUUCCAGGCAAAUCCGGAAAAUCAAGGCUGAGGCGUGAUGACGAGGCACUACGGUGCUGAAGCAACAAAUGCCCUGCUUCCAGGAAAAGCCUCUAAGCAUCAGGUAACAUCAAAUCGUACCCCAAACCGACACAGGUGGUCAGGUAGAGAAUACCAAGGCGCUUGAGAGAACUCGGGUGAAGGAACUAGGCAAAAUGGUGCCGUAACUUCGGGAGAAGGCACGCUGAUAUGUAGGUGAAGUCCCUCGCGGAUGGAGCUGAAAUCAGUCGAAGAUACCAGCUGGCUGCAACUGUUUAUUAAAAACACAGCACUGUGCAAACACGAAAGUGGACGUAUACGGUGUGACGCCUGCCCGGUGCCGGAAGGUUAAUUGAUGGGGUUAGCGCAAGCGAAGCUCUUGAUCGAAGCCCCGGUAAACGGCGGCCGUAACUAUAACGGUCCUAAGGUAGCGAAAUUCCUUGUCGGGUAAGUUCCGACCUGCACGAAUGGCGUAAUGAUGGCCAGGCUGUCUCCACCCGAGACUCAGUGAAAUUGAACUCGCUGUGAAGAUGCAGUGUACCCGCGGCAAGACGGAAAGACCCCGUGAACCUUUACUAUAGCUUGACACUGAACAUUGAGCCUUGAUGUGUAGGAUAGGUGGGAGGCUUUGAAGUGUGGACGCCAGUCUGCAUGGAGCCGACCUUGAAAUACCACCCUUUAAUGUUUGAUGUUCUAACGUUGACCCGUGAUCCGGGUUGCGGACAGUGUCUGGUGGGUAGUUUGACUGGGGCGGUCUCCUCCUAAAGAGUAACGGAGGAGCACGAAGGUUGGCUAAUCCUGGUCGGACAUCAGGAGGUUAGUGCAAUGGCAUAAGCCAGCUUGACUGCGAGCGUGACGGCGCGAGCAGGUGCGAAAGCAGGUCAUAGUGAUCCGGUGGUUCUGAAUGGAAGGGCCAUCGCUCAACGGAUAAAAGGUACUCCGGGGAUAACAGGCUGAUACCGCCCAAGAGUUCAUAUCGACGGCGGUGUUUGGCACCUCGAUGUCGGCUCAUCACAUCCUGGGGCUGAAGUAGGUCCCAAGGGUAUGGCUGUUCGCCAUUUAAAGUGGUACGCGAGCUGGGUUUAGAACGUCGUGAGACAGUUCGGUCCCUAUCUGCCGUGGGCGCUGGAGAACUGAGGGGGGCUGCUCCUAGUACGAGAGGACCGGAGUGGACGCAUCACUGGUGUUCGGGUUGUCAUGCCAAUGGCACUGCCCGGUAGCUAAAUGCGGAAGAGAUAAGUGCUGAAAGCAUCUAAGCACGAAACUUGCCCCGAGAUGAGUUCUCCCUGACUCCUUGAGAGUCCUGAAGGAACGUUGAAGACGACGACGUUGAUAGGCCGGGUGUGUAAGCGCAGCGAUGCGUUGAGCUAACCGGUACUAAUGAACCGUGAGG
rnacentral:rRNA from 1 species